UACAGAGGUCUCAAGCGUUGUUCGGAUUCAUUGGGCGUAAAGGGUGCGUAGCGGCGCCGUAAGUCAGGUGUGAAAUUUCGGAGCUUAACUCCGAAACUGCAUUCGAUACUGCGGUGCUUGAGGACUGGAGAGGAGACUGGAAUUCAUGGUGUAGCAGUGAAAUGCGUAGAGAUCAUGAGGAAGACCAGUGGCGAAGGCGGGUCUCUGGACAGUUCCUGACACUGAGGCACGAAGGCCAGGGGAGCAAACGGG
rnacentral:rRNA from 1 species